UGGGGAAUUGUUCGCAAUAGGCGCAAGCCUGACGACGCAACGCCGCGUGGAGGAUGAAGGUCUUCGGAUUGUAAACUCCUGUUGCUCGGGACGAAAAGCUUCGACCUAACACGUCGAGGUCUGACGGUACCGAGUGAGGAAGCCCCGGCUAACUCUGUGCCAGCAGCCGCGGUAAUACAGAGGGGGCAAGCGUUGUUCGGAAUUACUGGGCGUAAAGGGCGCGUAGGCGGCCUGCUAAGUCGAACGUGAAAUCCCUGGGCUCAACCCAGGAGCUGCGUCCGAUACUGGUUGGCUUGAAUCCGGGAGAGGGAUGUGGAAUUCCAGGUGUAGCGGUGAAAUGCGUAGAUAUCUGGAGGAACACCGGUGGCGAAGGCGACAUCCUGGACCGGUAUUGACGCUGAGGCGCGAAAGCCAGGGGAGCAAACGGGAUUAGAUACCCCGGUAGUCCUGGCCCUAAACGAUGAAUGCUUGGUGUGGUGGGUAUCGGAUCCCUACCGUGCCGAAGCUAACG
rnacentral:rRNA from 1 species